ACGUAGGGGGCAAGCGUUGCUCGGAAUUACUGGGCGUAAAGGGUGAGUAGGCGGUCGGGCAAGUCAAGGAUGAAAUCCCGAGGCUCAACUUCGGAAUUGUUCUUGAAACUGCUCGGCUUGAGGGUAGUUGAGGAGAGUGGAAUUCCCGGUGGAGCGGUGAAAUGCGUAGAUAUCGGGAGGAACACCUGAGGCGAAGGCGGCUCUCUAAGCUACUCCUGACGCUGAAUCACGAAAGCUAGGGGAGCAAACGG
rnacentral:rRNA from 2 species